ACGGGGUGCAGCAGGCGCGAAAACUUUACAAUGCGGGCAACCGCGAUAAGGGGACCUCGAGUGCCGACAUCAAAUGUCGGCUGUCGUGAUGCCUAAAAAGCAUUACAUAGCAAGGGCCGGGCAAGACCGGUGCCAGCCGCCGCGGUAACACCGGCGGCUCGAGUGGUAACCGUUAUUAUUGGGUCUAAAGGGUCUGUAGCCGGCCGGAUAAGUCUCUUGGGAAAUCCAGCAGCUCAACUGUUGGGCUUUCAGGAGAUACUGUCUGGCUCGAGGCCGGGAGAGGUGAGAGGUACUUCAGGGGUAGGGGUGAAAUCUUGUAAUCCUUGAAGGACCACCAGUGGCGAAGGCGUCUCACCAGAACGGACCUGACGGCAAGGGACGAAAGCUAGGGGCACGAACCGGAUUAGAUACCCGGGUAGUCCUAGCCGUAAACGAUACUCGCUAGGUGUCGGCCACGGUGCGACCGUUGUCGGUGCCGUAGGGAAGCCGUGAAGCGAGCCACCUGGGAAGUACGGCCGCAAGGCUGAAACUUAAAGGAAUUGGCGGGGGAGCAC
rnacentral:rRNA from 1 species